ACUGUUUGGAUAAGUUUACGUGGA
rnacentral:siRNA from 1 species